GCACUAGACACCUGCUUCUGUCGACUGUCUGGGACUUCAUAGUGAGUUCGGCCUCAGUCUCCUCUUUGGUAAGAUGGGACUCAUCAGACCCAACUCAGAAGACAGUUGUCACAGUGAAAGGAUGAACCACGUGUGGUGGCCACUCACAGUUACAGCCCUGGUACACCAUAGGAGGCUCUCAACAAAUCUGCCUUCCUCUUCCCCUCCUCUCCUUCCGCAGGUACAGAAGAUCCAUUUGGUUAAGUCAGUAUGCCACGUUAUGGCCUCACAUUUCUACUGUAGCUUGGUCUUCCUUGUGACAGGACUGAGAACUUCAGAGGCUGAAGAGAUCCUGAGGUGAGCUGAGCUCCCAAUGGGAGCAUAAACACAGCACCACAGGAAGGAGGUGAAAGAGGAGCUAGACACUGCACUGUGGCUGCCUGGCCUGAGACAGCUCACAGCUGCCCCCAUCCACCCUCACUCAGAGGCAUCCCUCCCUUUGUAACAUCUUUGAGGACUGGCAUCAAUGGGCACUGAAUAGGGUUCCUCUCGUGGUCAUGCAUUUGGAAGACUCAGCAGGAAGCGUAUCACUACUGGUGCCUCCCAGGCCUGAGUCUCUUCUGAGGGUUGCUCUGGAUCAGCUCAGCUUGGCACACCUCUGCAGAUGGAUGAGGAUGCCAAGAGCAGACGGACCAGCAAUCAAUAAACUGAACUGCCUCCCUGCUCCUCUGGCUGGUCCCCAUACUGGACCAUCUGGAAGCGAGAUAAGUACGUAAUCCUGAGGCUGCAUCUCAGGGUAUCUCGGGCCAGGAAAUGGACUGCGUAAUAGCCAGGCUGGAAGCAGGCCAGGGCUGGAGGUGGGUGCGAAGGUAAAAGGAAGUGAAAUGAUCCAGUUGACACAAAGCUGAGGUUCCACUCAGACAAAAGGCCACAUCUGUAGAUGAAGGUGUGAUACAAGUGAUGGUCUGGGGUGUCCUUCAUGAAGCAAAAUAAGUCCAGAACUGAAAAGACACAGCUCUGAGUCCUGUGCAGUGGGUGUGAGAGAGUAGUCUAUAAUUCCUGGGAUGCACUAGGAGUUCCUUCAAAGGCCUUCCCUUUGCUUAUUCUUUUUAGCUCUGUCUUGUUAACUUUUUAUUGAUUCUUUGUGAGUCUCCACCAUGCCCUCUAAUCCCACCCAUCCCUUCAUUCCUUCAUCUCCACCCUCCACCCUUGCAACCUCCCCUACGAAAGAAAUUAAAAAUACAAAUAAAUUAUAU
rnacentral:lncRNA from 1 species